GGUUGGUGGAAUGAUGGUCUAAACUGUUGGUUUUCAACCACUACGACCCGGGUUCGAUUCCCGCAUUGGGACA